rnacentral:rRNA from 1 species
GUAGGUGGCAAGCGUUGUCCGGAAUUAUUGGGCGUAAAGCGCGCGCAGGGGUGGUUCUUUAAGUCUGAUGUGAAAGCCCCCGGGCUCAACCGGGGAGGGUCAUUGGAAACUGGGGAACUUGAGUGCAGGAGAGGAAAGUGGAAUUCCACGUGUAGCGGUGAAAUGCGUAGAUAUGUGGAGGAACACCAGUGGCGAAGGCGACUUUCUGGCCCGUAACUGACACUGAGGCGCGAAAGCGUGGGGAGCAAACAGGAUUAGAUACCCUGGUAGUCCACGCCGUAAACGAUGAGUGCUAAGUGUUGGGGGGUUUCCGCCCCUCAGUGCUGCAGCUAACGCAUUAAGCACUCCGCCUGGGGAGUACGGUCGCAAGACUG